GCCUACCAAGGCAACGAUCAUUAGGGGUUCUGAGAGGAAGGUCCCCCACACUGGUACUGAGACACGGACCAGACUCCUACGGGAGGCAGCAGUGAGGAAUAUUGGUCAAUGGACGCAAGUCUGAACCAGCCAUGUCGCGUGCAGGAUGACUGCCCUAUGGGUUGUAAACUGCUUUUAAACGGGAGUAACCCUUCGGACGUGUCCGGAGCUGUAAGUACCGUUUGAAUAAGGAUCGGCUAACUCCGUGCCAGCAGCCGCGGUAAUACGGAGGAUCCGAGCGUUAUCCGGAUUUAUUGGGUUUAAAGGGUGCGUAGGCGGAGUCAUAAGUCAGUGGUGAAAGUAUGCCGCUCAACGGUAUAAUUGCCAUUGAAACUGUGAUUCUUGAGUAUGGACGAGGCAGGCGGAAUGUGUAAUGUAGCGGUGAAAUGCAUAGAUAUUACACAGAACCCCGAUUGCGUAGGCAGCUUGCCAGACCAUUACUGACGCUGAUGCACGAAAGCGUGGGGAUCGAACAGGAUUAGAUACCCUGGUAGUCCACGCCGUAAACGAUGUUCACUGGCUGUUUGCGAUAUACUGUAAGUGGCCAAGCGAAAGCGCUAAGUGAACCACCUGGGGAGUACGUCGGCAACGAUGAAACUCAAGGAAUUGACGGGGGCCCGCACAAGCGGAGGACAUGUGGUUUAAUUCGAUGAUACGCGAGGAACCUUACCUGGACUUAAUGUAGGUUGCAUAGAGUGAAGACAUUCUUUUCUUCGGACUACCUACAGUGCUGCAUGUUGUCGUCAGCCUCGUGCCGUGAGU
rnacentral:rRNA from 1 species